AAUUUCAGGAUAUAUCAAGAGCAGUAAAACAUUCCAAAAAGAAAUUCAUUAAAAUUGACAAGCCCCCCGUGUGCCAGAAAUUACUACAGAAUGGAAAGAGAUACAGAUUGAUUUGUGAACCAGAAGCUGAAAUAACUCCAGAGGAAAUUGAAUUUGUUGAUGGAUCUCUUUUGAAGCUGAAGAGUUACAUUGAAGUCUAUUUUGAGAAACCUGAUGACUUCACCUUAUCUUUGGUUGAACUGGACUCGGGUGCACCUGUAUGGA
rnacentral:lncRNA from 1 species